rnacentral:lncRNA from 1 species
AAGCCGUUGCUUAGUAGUGGUGAGGAGGAGGUGGUGAUGAGUAGACAUAAUGGGGUGGAGGUGGUGGAGGAGACUUGUAUUUGUAUACCGGAGGGGGUGGUGGGGGAGACUUGUACUUGUAAACUGGAGGAGGUGGUGGGGGAGACUUGUACUUGUAAACUGGAGGAGGUGGUGGCGGAGAUUUGUACUUGUACGGGUGCUUGGGAGGUGAUGGUGGUGGUGGUGGUGGAGACUUAUAUUUGUAAACUGGGGGUGGUGGGGGUGGAGAUUUGUACUUAUACGGGUGCUUGGGUGGUAAUGGUGGAGGUGGAGGUGGAGACUUAUAUUUGUAAACUGGGGGUGGUGGGGGUGGAGAUUUGUACUUAUACGGGUGCUUGGGUGGUAAUG